CAGUCCUCCCAGGCCAGGCUGCACAGUGAGGCAGAGCCUGACUGCUGGGUCUGUGCAGGGACCAGCUGCUCACAGCAAGACAUUUUCCUCCAGACACCAGCAGCAUGAGGCUCUGGGCCCUGGCCGUGCUCGUGGCCACAGCACUGGGCGUUUCCAGGUCCCAGAUUGUCCUGACACAGUCCGGUUCAGAGAUAAAGAAACCUGGAGAGUCCACAAGGCUGAGAUGUGCCGUGACUGGGUUCACUGCUACUGACUACUCGAUGUCCUGGCUCAGGCAGGGGCCUGGCAAGGGGCUGGAGUGGCUGGUCACCUACUGGAAAGCAGGGCAAAGUGACUACUACUCUCCAAGCAUCAAAGGGCGAUUCACAGCCUCCAAGGACAGCUCCAACUUCUACCUGCAAAUGACCAGCCUAAAACCCGAGGACACGGCUGUGUAUUACUGUGCCAAAGACACAGUGAAAGAAAACCUAUUGGAGCCUGCACAAGAACCAGCGGAGAAGAAACCUGUCUGCCAGAGGGAGGCAGAGGCAGCAGCUCUGCAGCACGUCCCUCAGUCGCAGCGGUGCUCCAUGGAUCUGGUGUCCCUGUACCACACAUCACUGGUACCCAUGGCUGAUUGA